rnacentral:rRNA from 1 species
UACGGAGGGGGCUAGCGUUGUUCGGAAUUACUGGGCUUAAAGAGUUCGUAGGCGGCGCAGAAAGUAGGGUGUGAAAGCCCUCGGCUCAACCGAGGAAUUGCGCUCUAAACUACUGUGCUUGAGGAAUCUAGAGGUGAGCGGAACUGAUGGUGGAGCGGUGAAAUGCGUUGAUAUCAUCAGGAACACCGGAGGCGAAGGCGGCUCACUGGGGAUUUUCUGACGCUGAGGAACGAAAGCCAGGGGAGCGAACGGG